GGUAUUUUGACCGUGCAAAGGUAGCAUAAUCAUUAGUUUUUUAAUUGAAAGCUGGAAUGAAAGGUUGGAUGAGAAAUAAGCUGUCUCUAUUUAAUUUUAUUAGAAUUUUAUUUUUAAGUAAAAAAGCUUAAAUUUUAAUAGAAGACGAGAAGACCCUAUAGAGUUUUAUUCAUUUUUUAAAUAGAAUUAGUAGUAUAAAUUAUUUUUAUUUAUAAGAUGAAUUUAAUUGGGGUGAUUGAAAAAUUUAAUAAACUUUUUUUAUAUAUAUACAUUGAUAUAUGAUUAAUUGAUCCUUUAUUUGAGAUUAAAAGAUAAAAUUACCUUAGGGAUAACAGCGUAAUUUUUUUUGAGAGUUCUAAUCGAAAAAAAAGAUUGCGACCUCGAUGUUGGAUUAAAAUAAAAUUUUGGUGUAGAAGCUAAAA
rnacentral:rRNA from 1 species